rnacentral:rRNA from 1 species
CAUUACCGAGUGCGGGUCCUUUGGGCCCAACCUCCCAUCCGUGUCUAUUGUACCCUGUUGCUUCGGCGGGCCCGCCGCUUGUCGGCCGCCGGGGGGGCGCCUCUGCCCCCCGGGCCCGUGCCCGCCGGAGACCCCAACACGAACACUGUCUGAAAGCGUGCAGUCUGAGUUGAUUGAAUGCAAUCAGUUAAAACUUUCAACAAUGGAUCUCUUGGUUCCGGCAUCGAUGAAGAACGCAGCGAAAUGCGAUAACUAAUGUGAAUUGCAGAAUUCAGUGAAUCAUCGAGUCUUUGAACGCACAUUGCGCCCCCUGGUAUUCCGGGGGGCAUGCCUGUCCGAGCGUCAUUGCUGCCCUCAAGCCCGGCUUGUGUGUUGGGUCGCCGUCCCCCUCUCCGGGGGGACGGGCCCGAAAGGCAGCGGCGGCACCGCGUCCGAUCCUCGAGCGUAUGGGGCUUUGUCACAUGCUCUGUAGGAUUGGCCGGCGCCUGCCGACGUUUUCCAACCAUUCUUUCCAGGUUGACCUCGGAUCAGGUAGGGAUACCCGCUGAACUUAAGCAUAUCAUUAA